CCGGGGAAGCAGACCGCAAGGGGAAGCGUGGGCUGGGCCCGGACAGGCUGGCGAGACUGGAGCUUUUCCCUGAAGCAGCUGGAUGCGGAACCGCUGCCCGGGGGACCUGCCCUUAGCCAAGCGGGGGGUCCUUGCUUGCAGCUCGGGGCUCGCCCUUUCGCAGACGGGCUUUAUCCCGCGGGGGCCCCCCCCAGACCCCAGUUUAAAGGGGACACGUGCCGGCCCGGGCCCAGCUGGUCGGUUCAUUCCCUCGAUUAGGGCCAGGUGCGAAGGCAGCGCCCUGGAUCGCGCCUGCCCGAGAACAGCCCCCGACAUGCCCCAGCUCGGUCCGCCCCGGCAGGACGCUGCCCGCUUCGGCCCCGCAUGGAGCCCUCGCUGGAGAACUACUGGGACCGGAGCCCGGGCCAGGAUGACCUUUCAUCAGCUGGUCCUCAACUAUAUACUCCCAUGAGCCCUUUUGACACAGACCUGCCGAUUCAAGCAGCUCAAAGUGCAUCAUUCGGUUCUCAUCUUGACCAAUCCAAAGAACUUUCUACAGACUUCUCUUCUGUGGAUCUCAGCUUUCUUCCAGAUGAUCUUAACCAAGAAAAUGGAGAACAAACUCGUUCGGAAGAUGGCCAUGAAAUGCAAAGAGAGCAAUACAGGUCACAGUCGGCAGAGCAGGACAGUGGGUUCUUAAAUGACAGCAAUUUCUCACAACUGAGCUAUGCGGACGCAACUCAGCCAUCACCUGAAACAUCUGGUGCCUGUCCCCCUUUGACACCUAUGACCCCUAUCACCCCAAUGACGCCCGUUUCAGAAAGCUCUGGCAUCGUUCCUCAGUUACAGAAUAUAGUGUCCACUGUAAACUUGGCUUGUAAACUAGAUCUGAAGAAUAUAGCUCUGCAUGCCAGAAAUGCAGAAUAUAAUCCAAAGAGGUUUGCUGCUGUGAUAAUGAGAAUCAGAGAACCAAGAACAACAGCCCUUAUAUUCAGUUCCGGCAAAAUGGUCUGCACGGGAGCAAAAAGUGAAGAGCAAUCGCGGCUUGCAGCUAGGAAGUACGCACGUGUGGUACAGAAGCUUGGGUUCCCUGCCAAGUUCCUGGACUUCAAAAUACAGAAUAUGGUGGGCAGUUGUGAUGUGAGGUUCCCCAUCAGGCUGGAAGGAUUGGUUCUAACUCAUCAGCAAUUCAGUAGUUAUGAACCAGAACUAUUUCCUGGCCUUAUUUAUAGGAUGGUCAAACCAAGGAUUGUGUUGCUUAUCUUCGUGUCUGGAAAAGUUGUACUGACUGGUCCCAUGAAGUCAUCCUGGCCAUCUACACUCCACUGAUGCCUCCAGAAUACAUUUUUGGAUGUCAUAACUACAAAAAAAAAAAAAAAAAAAAACCACCAAACCACACAACAACAAACACACCUCUGCUGAGGCACACAGCAGGCCCAUAAGGGCUCAGGUGCCAAAGAGCGUUCUGAAAUCUAUGAGGCAUUUGAAAACAUCUAUCCUAUUCUAAAGGGUUUCAAGAAAGCAUCUUAAAAUUUCUUUCCAAAAAAAUGAAGAGGAAUAUAUAGGUUUGUAUGUUUAUGCAUAGAACCAAUGUAACAGUAUUCCGAUACCUGAAUACAGAAUUGUGGAUUAGUAGGCAUAUAAAGCCAUUUUGAACACACUAUAAACUAUGAUUAGAUGCACGCUUUUUGUAAGUAGCAUGAAACAAUUUUGCUGUAAAACUUGAUGUUUCUAAUGAGUUCAGUCAUUGUAUCAAGUUCUGUUAAAGAAUUCACAAUAAGCAAAAGUACAUUUACUUUUGAACAGGAAUGUAAAUUAGGACCGUUAUUGCACUAUAAAAUAUUUUACAGUACAAUUAAUGAAAAUCUAUUUUUCUGCAUUAGAAUGCAUGUAUCAAUGGAGGUUAGUCUAUAGAUCAGUCUUCUUAAAAUCCGUAAGAUUUUGAUCAAUAUCUUGUAGCACUAACAGCUAAUUUCAUGUUAAUUCAGACCUUAUU